AACGAACGCUGGCGGCAUGCCUAACACAUGCAAGUCGAACGAGAAGUACCCGCAAGGGUAUUGUACAGUGGCGCACGGGUGCGUAACACGUGGGUAAUCUGCCCUUUAGUUUGGGAUAACUCCUCGAAAGAGGAGCUAAUACCGGAGAGACCACAGGGACAUCAGUCCUAGGGGUUAAAGGUAGGGACCGAAAGGCCUAUCGCUAAUGGAUGAGCUCGCGCACUAUCAGCUAGUUGGUGAGGUAAUGGCUCACCAAGGCUAUGACGGUUAGCUGGUCUGAGAGGAUGAUCAGCCACACUGGAACUGAGACACGGUCCAGACUCCUACGGGAGGCAGCAGUGGGGAAUCUUGCACAAUGGGCGAAAGCCUGAUGCAGCAAUGCCGCGUGAGUGAUGAAGGCCUUCGGGUUGUAAAUCUCUGUCGGAUGGGACAAACGGGUUCUCUGCUAAUAGUAGAGAGCAGUGAUGGUACCAUCAAAGGAAGAGGCGGCUAACUCUGUGCCAGCAGCCGCGGUAAUACAGAGGCCUCGAGCGUUGUUCGGAAUUACUGGGCGUAAAGGGAGUGUAGGUGGUGACGUAAGUCAGAUGUGAAAGCCCUGGGCUUAACCCGGGAAGUGCAUUUGAUACUGCGUUGCUAGAGUGCGAGAGAGGAAAGUGGAAUUCCAAGUGUAGGGGUGAAAUCCGUAGAUAUUUGGAGGAAUACCGAUGGCGUAGGCAGCUUUCUGGCUCGUAACUGACACUGAGACUCGAAAGCGUGGGUAGCAAACAGGAUUAGAUACCCUGGUAGUCCACGCUGUAAACGAUGGAUGCUUGUUGUUGGAAUGUUAACCUUUUCAGUAACGAAGCUAACGCGUUAAGCAUCCCGCCUGGGGAGUACGGUCGCAAGAUUAAAACUCAAAGAAAUUGACGGGGACCCGCACAAGCAGUGGAGCAUGUGGUUUAAUUCGACGCAACGCGAAGAACCUUAUCCUGGUCUUGACAUCCUCUGACCGCCGGCGAAAGUCGGUUUUCCCUUCGGGGACAGAGAGACAGGUGCUGCAUGGCUGUCGUCAGCUCGUGUCGUGAGAUGUUGGGUUAAGUCCCGUAACGAGCGCAACCCACGCCUCUUGUUGCCAUCAUUAAGUUGGGCACUCUAGAGGGACUGCCAGUGUUAAACUGGAGGAAGGUGUGGAUGACGUCAAGUCCUCAUGGCCCUUAUGACCAGGGCUACACACGUGCUACAAUGCAGGGUACAAAGGGCUGCUAAACCGCGAGGUGGAGCCAAUCCCAAAAAACCCUGCUCAGUUCGGAUUGAAGUCUGCAACUCGACUUCAUGAAGCUGGAAUUGCUAGUAAUCACAGAUCAGCAUGCUGUGGUGAAUACGUUCCCGGGUCUUGUACACACCGCCCGUCACACCACGAAAGUUGUUUGCACCAGAAGUCGCUGAGCUAACCGCAAGGAAGCAAGCGCCCAAGGUGUGUGCAAUGAUUGGGGUGAAG
rnacentral:rRNA from 1 species